rnacentral:rRNA from 1 species
GACGAACGCUGGCGGCGUGCUUAACACAUGCAAGUCGAACGGGCCCGCUCUCUUUUUUGGGGGUGGGUUGAGUGGCGGACGGGUGAGUAUCACGUGAGUAACCUGCCCCCUGCUCCUGGAUAACUGCUUGAAAGGGCGGCUAAUACGGGGUGUGCCGGCUGGUCCGCAUGGGCCUGGUCGGGAUAGUUUCAUCUUCGGGUGUUUCGGUGGGGGAUGGGCUCGCGGCCUAUCAGCUUGUUGGUGGGGUGAUGGCCCACCAAGGCGGUGACGGGUAGCCGGCCUGAGAGGGUGGGCGGCCACACUGGGACUGAGACACGGCCCAGACGCCUGCGGGAGGCAGCAGUGGGGGGUAUUGCACAAUGGGCGGAAGCCUGAUGCAGCGACGUCGCGUGAGGGAUGGAGGCCUUCGGGUUGUGAACCUCUUUCUCCGGUGGUGAAGGCCCUGUCCGUUGCGGCGGGGUUGACGGUAGCCGGGGAUGAAGCGCCGGCUAACUACGUG